GCCUUCGUGGUGUAGUGGUCAGCACGCUCGGCGCGGAACCGAGAGGUCCGUGGUUCGAAUCCCGGCGACGGCG
rnacentral:tRNA from 1 species